rnacentral:rRNA from 1 species
GAUGAACGCUGGCGGCGUGCCUAAUACAUGCAAGUCGAGCGAAUGGAUUAAGAGCUUGCUCUUAUGAAGUUAGCGGCGGACGGGUGAGUAACACGUGGGUAACCUGCCCAUAAGACUGGGAUAACUCCGGGAAACCGGGGCUAAUACCGGAUAACAUUUUGAACCGCAUGGUUCGAAAUUGAAAGGCGGCUUCGGCUGUCACUUAUGGAUGGACCCGCGUCGCAUUAGCUAGUUGGUGAGGUAACGGCUCACCAAGGCAACGAUGCGUAGCCGACAUGAGAGGGUGAUCGGCCACCCUGGGACUGAGACAAGGCCCAGACUCCUACGGGAGGCAGCAGUAGGGAAUCUUCCGCAAUGGACGAAAGUCUGACGGAGCAACGCCGCGUGAGUGAUGAAGGCUUUCGGGUCGUAAAACUCUGUUGUUAGGGAAGAACAAGUGCUAGUUGAAUAAGCUGGCACUUUGACGGUACCUAACCAGAAAGCCACGGCUAACUACGUGCCAGCCGCCGCGGUAA